GGGCCCGCACAAGCGGUGGAGUAUGUGGUUUAAUUCGAUGCAACGCGAAGAACCUUACCAGGGUUUGACAUCCUGCGAAUCUCUUGGAAACGAGAGAGUGCCUUCGGGAGCGCAGUGACAGGUGGUGCAUGGCUGUCGUCAGCUCGUGUCGUGAGAUGUUGGGUUAAGUCCCGCAACGAGCGCAACCCACGUCUUUAGUUGCCAGCAUUUAGUUGGGCACUCUAGAGAGACCGCCGGUGAUAAACCGGAGGAAGGUGUGGAUGACGUCAAGUCAUCAUGCCCCUUACAUCCUGGGCUACACACGUACUACAAUGCUACGGACAAAGAGCAGCAAGUUCGCGAGAGCUAGCAAAUCCCAUAAACCGUGGCUCAGUUCAGAUCGUAGGCUGCAACUCGCCUACGUGAAGGCGGAAUCGCUAGUAAUCG
rnacentral:rRNA from 1 species